UAAUCGGUUUUAAAGGUAGCAGAAAGCAGACAUUGGCAAAGUUGUUUUGACUUGACGUAGCUUUCACAUUGUGGUUUUUUUUCCACAUGAGAAAAU